rnacentral:tRNA from 1 species
GACUAGAGUGGCGUAGUGGUUUGAGUGUUGGACUAUGACUCUGAAGACCAGGGUUCGAUUCCCAGCUUGGCCA